GAUUACAAAAACCAUGGCAGCCUACAGUAGUUUUUAAGGGAACAUUUUCAGUGCACCCAUUGAUUAAAUAACAGAUGGGUUUGU